GAUGAAGAACGUAGUGAAAUGCGAUAAGUAAUGUGAAUUGCAGAAUUUAGUGAAUCAUCGAAUCUUUGAACGCACAUUGCGCCCGCCAGCAUUCUGGCGGGCAUGCCUGUUCGAGCGUCAUUUCAACCCUCGAGCCCCCCCGGGGGCCUCGGUGUUGGGGGACGGCACACCAGCCGCCCCCGAAAUGCAGUGGCGACCCCGCCGCAGCCUCCCCUGCGUAGUAGCACACACCUCGCACCGGAGCGCGGAGGCGGUCACGCCGUAAAACGCCCAACUUUCUUAGAGUUGACCUCGGAUCAGGUAGGAAUACCCGCUGAACUUAAGCAUAUCAAUAAGCGGAGGA
rnacentral:misc_RNA from 1 species